rnacentral:rRNA from 1 species
UACGAAGGGGGCUAGCGUUGCUCGGAUUUACUGGGCGUAAAGGGAGCGUAGGCGGAUCAGCAAGUUGGGGGUGAAAGCCCGGGGCUCAACCUCGGAACUGCCUUCAAAACUGCUGGUCUUGAGUUUGGGAGAGGUGUGUGGAACUCCGAGUGUAGAGGUGAAAUUCGUAGAUAUUCGGAAGAACACCAGUGGCGAAGGCGACACACUGGCCCAAUACUGACGCUGAGGCUCGAAAGCGCGGGGAGCAAACAGG